CAUCACGCGGGCGCGGACAUCGGCGGCGAUGGCUUCCCAGAUACGCGGCGCGAACAGCACGAAGGUCGGCGCGAUCUCGCGGAAGUCGUUCAUCAUCGUGUCCGGCUCUUCGACGAAGUUGACCUUCAUCCGCGAGAGCAGACCUUUGCCGAGCGCGUAGACCUGCUCCAUGAUCCAGGGCAGGGGCAGCACCGAGACGUAUUCGUCGUCCGGGCCUUUGGGAUCGAAGGCGAGAUAGUUCGCACAGUGGCUGAGCACGCGGCCCGCCGCCAGCAUGGCGAGCUUGGGGUUCGACGUGGUGCCCGAUGUCGUGC
rnacentral:misc_RNA from 1 species